rnacentral:rRNA from 1 species
GUAUGGUGCAAGCGUUAUCCGGAUUUACUGGGUGUAAAGGGAGCGUAGACGGCUGUGUAAGUCUGAAGUGAAAGCCCGGGGCUCAACCCCGGGACUGCUUUGGAAACUAUGCAGCUAGAGUGUCGGAGAGGUAAGCGGAAUUCCUAGUGUAGCGGUGAAAUGCGUAGAUAUUAGGAGGAACACCAGUGGCGAAGGCGGCCUGCUGGACGACAACUGACGCUGAGGCGCGAAAGCGUGGGGAGCAAACAGGAUUAGAUACCCUGGUAGUCCACGCUGUAAACGAUGAAUACUAGGUGUGGGGGGACUGACCCCUUCCGUGCCGCAGUUAACACAAUAAGCAUCCCACCUGGGGAGU